GAUGAACGCUGGCGGCGUGCUUAACACAUGCAAGUCGAACGGAAAGGCUCCUGCCUGCAGGGGUACUCGAGUGGCGAACGGGUGAGUAACACGUGGGUGAUCUGCCCUGCACUUCGGGAUAAGCCUGGGAAACUGGGUCUAAUACCGGAUAGGACCACAUUUUGGAUGGUGUGGUGGAAAGUUGUUCGGUGUGGGAUGAGCUCGCGGCCUAUCAGCUUGUUGGUGGGGUAAUGGCCUACCAAGGCGUCGACGGGUAGCCGGCCUGAGAGGGUGUACGGCCACAUUGGGACUGAGAUACGGCCCAGACUCCUACGGGAGGCAGCAGUGGGGAAUAUUGCACAAUGGGCGCAAGCCUGAUGCAGCGACGCCGCGUGGGGGAUGACGGCCUUCGGGUUGUAAACUCCUUUCGCUAGGGACGAAGCGCAAGUGACGGUACCUGGAGAAGAAGCACCGGCUAACUACGUG
rnacentral:rRNA from 1 species